GUGGCCCGCUUGUAGGACGACACCUGGGAGAUUAAAUGGAGAAAAGAGUCCCUCAGGGCUUCCAUAGCGAUGACGGGCGGUCACAGGACAAUCCAGCCUAGAAGCGGAGUUUCUCUACAAGGACCCUCCCACUCUAUGCUACUGUCACAUGAUGGGUCACUGGUUCUUGUUUCGCUGGGAUAUCCCAACCAGAGGCUUUCAGAAAUGGAAACAAGUGUAAUACCAGCAUUAUUAUUGCAUCCAUCAUAAACUGGUCAACAAUGAUUUUCUUUCCUGCUAAAAAAAAAAAAAAAAGUUUAUUGGUUAUUUUUGCAUGCUGAAUCUAAAUCAAACAUGCUUAGUCUUUCUGAUCCAGUAUACUCAUUCAUAUAUCAUCAUGUACAGUUUGUAAUUGUGUGCAUGCGUGCGUGCGCCACACUCCACCCUUGCGUUACACCUGUCCCUAGUUACAGUCAUUGUUUCAUGUAUAUUUAAGUCCCUGUGCUGUAGCCAAUGUUUGUCAGUGUUUGCUCCUACUUAUGCAGUGUUUCAGACAGUUCAUUUGCUUGUUACAAUUUUCGUGUCUUGUUAUGGCUUAGUGUUCUUCCUGUUUGGUGUAGUUUUUUUGUUUUUUGUGUAUAAGAAACAUCCGUGUCCAUGA